rnacentral:RNase_P_RNA from 1 species
GGAGCGGGCCGGACGGUCGCCGGGUGCAAGCCUGGAGGAAGGUCCGGACUCCAUCGGGCAGGAUGCUGGCUAACGGCCAGGCGCAGCAAGCCGGCGCGAGCCGGCCCAAGGCGACGGAAAGUGGCACAGAAAACAUACCGCCUCCUCGGCGCAAGCCUUGGCGGCAAGGGUGAAAUGGCGAGGUAAGAGCUCACCGCGUUGCCGGUGACGGCAACGGCAGGCCAAACCCCAUCCGGAGCAACAUCGAAUAGGCACGCGUUGCCAGUCGUUCGCGGCUGGCGCAGGGCGCCCUCCCGAGCGUGCGGGUAGAUGGCUAGAGCCGUCGGGCAACCGGCGGCCCAGAGGAAUGACCGUCCCGCCGGCAACGGCGGACAGAAUCCGGCCUACAGGCCCGCUCCACUU